GACGAACGCUGGCGGCGUGCUUAACACAUGCAAGUCGAACGAUGAAGAAGAGAAACGCGAACUUCGGUUCAACUUUCACUUCGGAUUAGUGGCAGACGGGUGAGUAACGCGUGAGCAACCUACCUCUUACAAAGGGAUAGCCUCGGGAAACCGUGAUUAAUACCAUAUGACACAUUCAUAAGGCAUCUUAAGAAUGUUAAAGCUACGGCGGUAAGAGAUGGGCUCGCGUCCCAUUAGCUAGUUGGUGAGGUAACGGCCCACCAAGGCGACGAUGGGUAACCGGCCUGAGAGGGUGAACGGUCACAUUGGAACUGAGACACGGUCCAAACUCCUACGGGAGGCAGCAGUGGGGAAUAUUGCACAAUGGGGGGAACUCUGAUGCAGCGACGCCGCGUGAGCGAUGAAGGAAUUCGUUUCGUAAAGCUCUGUUCUAUGGGAAGAAAAGGACUGUACCAUAGGAGAAAGCCCCGGCUAAAUACGUG
rnacentral:rRNA from 1 species